GAGUCGCACUGCGUUGCCAGAUUCAGACGCGGCCAUGCGUGAGUCCCCGAGGCUCCUUGCGGGCCGGCGUCCCAAGCCGAGGGUAGUGGCGACCUGCUUUCCAGAAAGGCCGCACAACAGGCUCAGCUCUGCUCGCGAGCAGGAGGCGACGGCAGAGGAAACUUCAACUCGAUAAAGUUCCCGGUCGCGGGAACAUUUGCCUCCUCCUGCCACUCACCGCCUCUGCUCUGGUCCCUCCCUCCAGGAAUCUUCAUAGCGUCCUUUCGCCCCACCCUCUCUCAUCCCGCGUCUUCCAUAUUUGCCCCAGCUUGGCUCAGGGCCACAGUUCUGCACUCUUAAGCGGGCGGCGCCACCUGCAGUUGUUUCUACGCGGGAAAUAGGGCAGCCGCAUCCCCGCACUGCCGAGUGCCCAAGGAUGGUAAGCCGGGGAGGGCAAGCAGCUUCUUUUCAGGGAUUCUGAUCUCACUCUAGAAACAGGUGUAAUGAUGGCACUUCACUCAGAAGUUUGUCCUGAGGCUUAAAUGAGGCAACGUGGACACAGCAUUUUAGCACAGGGCCAGAUUUGAUGGUGGUGUUGUUUAAGAAGAAAGUCCUUAUUCUUAGGAGAAUGCUGCU